GUGGGGGGGUGGUUGGAGACCUUGGCUCUCUCUCCACAGGCUCCUCUGUGGUGCUCUGAGGCUUCCUGCCUUCAGACACCCUGAUACAGAGGCUCUGGGGUGCCGCGUGGGAGCCGUGGCUCGAGGGUGUUUAAAAAGAGAUCAGGACACAGUGGCCUGUUAUGGUUGUGGCCGGUCGGCUCCACCCCAGGGCCAGCUGGCUGAGUUCCCAGACAUCCGUGUACACCACACACCUUGGAGCUGGCUAGAUCCUCUGCCAGGGCCUCCUAAAUGUACUGAUCAGCGUUUCUGGCACCUGAAUUAGUAAAGCCAACACAGGAUUCUCAUACUCCAGGGCACCAGUGUGGAGAUCCACAGGGGAGAAGUGAAAGUCCUCCUCCACCUCCCGCCUCCUCCCAGGAGCCCCCAGGAGCCCUGCGGCCAUCUCCACCAGACCUUGUGCAAAGAGGAUUCUUGCAGUGGAAUCAAGCAGGGGGCUUGGAUCCUUGGGUCGUCCUCCGCCUCCAGGACCGCUGCCCUGUUCCCUAGGCACCCACUGGUCUUGAACUUCUGCAGGGGCUUGAGAAGGUGAGAAUGCCGGAGGAUUUGCUGGAGUGGAUCCCAGCCUCUGAUAUUUACCAUACUGGAAAACAAAGGUGAUAAACGUAAAACACUUAUGAAUUCAUUUUAAAAUAAACCAGACCCAUUACAUACAACCAUAAAUAAGACUCUUUUUUCCAAAAAAGGAAAU